rnacentral:rRNA from 1 species
GCCCUUAGAGUUUGAUCCUGGCUCAGAACGAACGCUGGCGGCAGGCCUAACACAUGCAAGUCGAGCGCUACCUUCGGGUGGAGCGGCGGACGGGUUAGUAACGCGUGGGAAUAUACCCUUCUCUACGGAAUAGCCUCGGGAAACUGAGAGUAAUACCGUAUACGCCCUUCGGGGGAAAGAUUUAUCGGAGAAGGAUUAGCCCGCGUAAGAUUAGAUAGUUGGUGGGGUAAUGGCCUACCAAGUCUACGAUCUUUAGCUGGUUUUAGAGGAUGAUCAGCAACACUGGGACUGAGACACGGCCCAGACUCCUACGGGAGGCAGCAGUGGGGAAUCUUAGACAAUGGGCGAAAGCCUGAUCUAGCCAUGCCGCGUGAGUGAUGAAGGCCUUAGGGUCAUAAAGCUCUUUCGCCAGGGAUGAUAAUGACAGUACCUGGUAAAGAAGCCCCGGCUAACUCCGUGCCAGCAGCCGCGGUAAUAAGGGCG